rnacentral:piRNA from 4 species
CAUCAAGAGAUUUCGGAAGCAUAAUUUUU